GCCAGAGUGGUGUAGUGGUUUCAGUGUUGGACUACAAUUCUGGAAACUGGGGUUCGAUUCCCCGCAUGGCCA